AGGGCACCACCAGGAGUGGAGCCUGCGGCUUAAUUUGACUCAACACGGGGAAACUUACCCGGCCUGGACACUGGAAGGAUUGACAGAUUGAGAGCUCUUUCUUGAUUCAGUGGGUGGUGGUGCAUGGCCGUUCUUAGUUGGUGGAGCGAUUUGUCUGGUUAAUUCCGAUAACGAACGAGACUCUAGCCUAUUAAAUAGGCUCCCGGCUUUUAAACGCCGGGAGGACUUCUUAGAGGGACAGGUGGCGGUUCAGCCGCACGAAAGAGAGCAAUAACAGGUCUGUGAUGCCCUUUGUUGUCCGGGGCCGCACGCGCGCUACACUGAAGAGAUCAGCGUGCUUUACGUUCCUGCUCCGACCGGAGUGGGGAACCCAGUGAACCUUCUUCGUGAUUGGGAUAGAAGAUUAUAAUUAUUCUUCUUGAACGAGGAAUUCCCAGUAAAUGCGAGUCAUAAGCUCGCGUUGAUUACGUCCCUGCCCUUUGUACACACCGCCCGUCGCUACUACCGAUUGAACGUUUU
rnacentral:rRNA from 1 species